GGAAAUCGUUUGUGAAAUCUGAAGGGAAACCGAAAACACAUUAACAUUAACAUAUUGCACUAAAAACUAAAGAUACACUUAGGAAUAUAUAGGAUACAUAUCCCUAGGAAUAGUCAGCCGGAGCUCAAAGUCUGUUCGGAACAUGGAUCGCAUGGGGGCCUGGUGACACAAAGAUUGUACGGAUAGUAACCUUUUCGGCAUGUAUGUGAAUGGUUAGGUAAACAGCAUGGCCGGUAAGGGAAUAUACUGGAAGACUUGUGACUGGUUAAGAUAUUGAUAUAAAGUAAUGCAAAUGAUGGUCCAAAGUGAAAAGAAUUCAAUAUAUACAGUUGAAUACUGCAACGUAUUCCUGUACUUAUAUUUUUUACAUCUAACUCUGACUCUUUUCUAAAUAAAUAUGUAUUCCGUUCUA
rnacentral:sRNA from 1 species